GCCAUCAGCACCCCUUUCCACGAAGAUGUCUGGUGUUCACUCUCAGAUGAAGAGAGGGAGUACUCAAACUCUAGGAUUCCUCAUAGCCCAAUAGACAGCAGCUUAACAGAAUUUCAACAGAAUGUUAAUUACACACAUAUAAUGAAUACUAUGCAUCAGGUAUUGUUCAAAUAACUUUACAAAUAUUAACUCAUUUAGCCUUAUACUACCCUAAUGAGGCAGGUAAAAUUAUUACCCCCAUUUUAUAGAGGAGGAAAUUGGGGCACAGAGAGGUUAAGUAACUGGCCCAGGGUCACACAGCCAGGAAGCCCAAAAGCCAGGAGUUGGCUCACAUUUUUAAUCUCUGCACUCUGCUGCCUAUGGAUUUGUUGGUUUCCUUCUUUUUCCAAUCAUUAAAUUAUCCUAACAGUUUUAUUGAGAUAUAAUUUAUAUACCGUAAACAUCACCCAUUUUAAGUGUACAAUUGAACAAUUUUAGUAAACUUAUCAAAUUGUGCAACCAUCACAACAAGCCAACUUUAGAGCAUUUCUAUCACCCUGGGAAAGAUUCUUUGUGCCCUUUUGCAGUCACUGUUAGUUCCAACCUCUGCUUGAAGCAACCAUUAAUCUUUCUGUCUCUGUAGAUUUGUCCUGGAAAUUUCCUAUACAUAGAAUCAUACAAUACGUGGUCUUUUGAGUCUAGCUUCUGUCACUUAACAUGAUGUAUUUGAGGUAGAUCCAUAUUGCAGCAUGUAUCACUCCAUUCGUUUUUGUGAUCUAAUAAUAUUCCAUUAUAUGGAUUUACUGCAUUUAGUUUAUCCAUUCACCAGCCGAGAGGCUUUUCCAUUGUUUCCACUUUUUGGCUGUGAUAAAUAAAGCUGCUAUGAACAUCUGUGUACAAGCCUUUGACUGGACAUAUAUUUCUCUUUCUCUUUAGGUAUAUGCCUAGGAGUGGAAUUGCUGAUUUGUGUGGUACAUUUAUGUUUACUUGUUGUAAAAACUGCUAAAUCUAUUUCCCAAAGUGCUGCACCAUUUUCCAUUCCACAGCCAUGGAUUUUAUAGACUGUGAGGUCCCGAUGCAAAUCCUAGGGCCACCCAUACAAGCAGACAGAGCCCAAUUUAGGGUCCUGGAACCAACCUAGGUGUAAAAUGAAGCCAUCUGGGGAUGGGGGGGACUGAGUCAAGCUCAGCCUCUCUGCAGCUUCUGAUGUCUGAGAAACAGGUGGGCAAGAAAUCAGCUGUUCUACUUUCUAAUCCAGAAAAACAUUGCCCUCUGGGACCUAGAGCACUUGUUAGGGGAAAAUCAGCAAAGUGGCGAUAACACCAAAAGGAAAAACAGAAACACACUGUGGAGACGUCAAGGGCGAUCUCAGCAAAGGAAGAAAACCAGCUUGAGAAGGCAGCAGUAAAGGCAGUUGGCCUGCAGCUCCCAUGCUCCGGAAGCCUUUAGUUCCCACUGCCAGCAUCCUCAGAGCCCUUUCCGACUACCUCGGAGGCCAGCGAGAGGAUAAUGGGGUGAUGGCAAGGGGGAGCCCCAGGACUCAGCUGCCUAUGGCUCUGAACAGACAGUGCUGGUCCAGCCAGGGAAGGCCUUCUCCAGAGGGGCACUGCUGGAGGAAGGAAGGAAGGAACGCCGCUGCCCGCCUGCCAGCCAGGAUAGCUCUGAGUGUCACCAGCUCUCCAGUUUGUGCCACAUGUUAUCUAAGGAGUCAUUUCACUAUUUAAUAAAGAGAUCCAGCUUUUGAUAGAGAGAAUUUGACAUGUCUGGCAGCAGCUGCAAAGGACAGAACUUUAUAAUGAUGGCCCGUGGUGGGUGUCUACACACACAACUGCCUGCCCAGCUUCCUCCUGACACGUCCCCUCACAUGGGAGUGAAACCGACAUGGCACUGCUGAAACACACAGAGUACACAGGGAUGGCACAGGGGGCAUGCCUUGCAGAAUGGAAUGGGCCUCUGCUUGCUGCUGAAUGCCACGUGCUCAGGACAGGUGGUAACUGUACUGGGUCGAAUUGCGUCCCUUCAAAUUCAUGUCCACAAGGACGCUGUGAAGGUGCUCCUAUUUGGAAAUAGGGCCUUUGCAGGUAUAAUUAAAGGGAAAUGAGGUCAUAUCAGAUUACAGUGGGCCGUAAUCCAAUGACUGGUAUUCUUUCCUAUAAGAGGGAAAUUUGGGCACAGACACAGAGAAGACACCGUGUGAAGACACAGACACAGAGGAGAGAAACUCAUAUGAAGACAAAGGCAGAGGCUGGGGUGAUACAGCUAUAAACCAAGGGACCCCAAGUGUUGCCAGGAAACCCCCAGAAGCCAGGACAAAACAAAGUAGGAUCCUUCCCUAGAGAUUUCAGAGGGACCAUGGCCCUACUAACACCUUGAUUUUAGACUCGUGACCCCCAGAACUGUGAGAUAAUACAUUCCUGUGGUUUAAAGCCACCCAGUUUAUGGUGCUUUGCCAAGGCAGCUCCAGGAAAUGGAACAAAAGCUGAGCCCAGGCUGCAGGUAACAAACUGUCCAUGCUGGCAGGUGGCAGAGGGGGAAGGACAGGCAGAGAGGGCCGCAUGGAGGAGGCACCUCCUUUAGUUGUGCCUGAGGUUCAGGCAGAAGGCCCAGAGAACAGAAGUGAAACUAGAGGCUCAGCAUGGCUCCUGGUAGAAUUGGCUUUAAUGGCUCAAGUUUUUUCAUCUUUGCUUCCUCCAACUUGCCUGGAACAGGUACUGCACACGGUAGGUGCCCAUUACGUGCUUAGUGUUUAUGGAUGAGCUCUGCAUGUGGGAAAACAAACGACAUGAUUGGCCAGUUGGCCUGGAGAGAGCUAGCCCAGCUUUAUUUAAAAAGCCAUUCAGAGGCGGCUGCUAUGUGCUGAGUUGGCAGAGAAGCAUCAGGCCUCUGAAAGUCAGCAAUAAAGAGUCGGCUUACCGAGGCCACAUGCUGAGCCCAUAAUCCCACUUCAGAAGCUGUAGCUUUAGCCUGAGCAUGACCCGACACAUGAAAUUGCUUGGCUCUUCCCAGUAGCCAGAGCCACGGAGCACAGGAGUGAGAGGCCAGCCACAGAGGAGGGUGGAUAUCUGUGUACCGCGUGGGAUUCUGUGUGUCGCAGCGCCAGGCCUGGCAUAGAAGUCAGUGGUCAGCACUGGGGCUGGGGACUUGACUGAGCUGUUGACAGGCCUGUUGAUCACUUGCCCAGUGGCCUGCCACCUCCUGUUAGGAGCUAGCUGGUACCGGGCAGGGAAGUCCCUCUGUGAGGAUCUAGCAUGACCAGUCCACUGAAAUUCCUUCAGGCACGUAGAGGACUUUAUAGUCUACCUGGCUUCCUCCCAGGACCCAGGGUGGGAUUGGCUCAGCUAGGCAGCUGGUGAGCUAGAGAAAUGGGAAUGACCCUCCACAUCAGCCUGACACCGGGUAUUAAAUCACUGCACCAAGUAUGUCAACACAACGCCCAGGUGGCCGCUGGACAAUAAGGCCACAGGGCCCCAGAGAGUGGCUGGACUUUGCUGUCUCGUCUGUACCUUGUGUGAGAGCUUGAGACUCAGAGGAGCCCGUGGGGCACAUGGAGGUGAACUUAGUCCCAGAUACAUUGUAUGGACGUGGUCAUGGGACACCAGUACUCAACAGGGAACUCUCAGCUGCAGGCUCCUGGCCUGAGCAGACCUUCUCAGAAUGGCCAAAGUGCCUGUCCUCAGGAGCCAGGACUCCAGCUCAAUCUUAGCUACAAGACUCCAACCAAAAUCUUGGGGGGGAUAGAGGCCACAUUCUGUCCCUGCAGGAGGCCUCUCAGGCUCCCUGAGAACCUGUUUCUAGUUCUCUAGUGGAUUUCAGUUGACAGAACUCUCUACUUCAGCAUCCCUGGGUCCCAGGGCUGAAGCUGCAUCUAAGAACCUGAGCCCUGAAGGCCAGGGCGGGUUUGCUGACAGAGGCGCAGGGCCAUCUGAUGUCAGACCUGAAAGGGCCCCAGGGCCAGUCCAAGCCUAGACCAUCUCCACUGUGGGAGAAUAGGGGGUAGGUCUGGAGACAGAAAGGGGUCCUCUUUCUUUCUACAUGGGUCUUGGCUGUGCAGUUACUGGCCCGAUGACCACACUGGGCCUGGGACUCUAUGCCUCCUCUGCCUUGGUUGGCAUAGUGAGGAGUGACCAGAAUCCUCCCCUUCCCCUACCCUAAGCAGCAGCCUGGGUGACUGGGGCAGGGCAGCUUCCCUGGCUGAGUCCAUUGUUUUAAAGGACAAUCCUCUCCCCCUCUCCCCUCCCUGGUGGUCUGCCAUCAGCCUAGGCACAGAAAAGAACAUCACUAACACAGGCUGGAAUGGGUCACAGGCACAGGCUUUAUCAGGCGACAAGGAUCAUUGAUUGGCCAUGAGUCGCAGUCCUGUGGGUGAAGAACAAGCCACAGAUACUGGAGCAUCAAUAUCUGGGGGUCUUUGUGAUGGUGUCCAGAGAGUCCAGACCACUGAGGAGGUGGCGUCCACAGUGGAUGAAUACACAACGGGCAGGCCAGGUUCUGCCAGUGACCCCAAGCAGAGCACCAGCCCCUGUGGCCACCUACCCCGCUGUGCCCUCUGCUCCUAUGUCACUUGACCCAAAGCAGGUGGGGAGCAGGAGGCAGGGAGCCAGCAUCAGGGUGCAGAAAGGGCAGGGAGGGGACAAAGCCCAGAGGAGAGCUGGAGCCACCUCUCGGAGGAAGACCUGGCCCCAUCCCCUCCCCACUCCUACUGAGACCUUCCGCUGCAGUCAGCAAGGGAUGCAGGGCCCGGGGCUGAGUGCUGGGAAGGAGGGGCGGGUGUGAAGGGGGAAGGCAAAUGGGUGGAGCCGGUGCUGGAGCUGUCCCAGAGCUGGCUCAGAGCCCUGGGGAGGGAGCUGACCCUCUGAGCCUGGGUUAAGACGGAGGAGGAGGGAGUCAGCUCUCGACCCCAAAACCACCUGUUUCCUCUCACUCUAGCACUGGUGGAGGGGAAGCUGCUCAGGACAGGGCGCCACAGCUGGAGAGGGACGUGAUCAGAUGCAGGACAGAGCAGACAGGUCCUGGCACGGGCCAGGAGCUGAGACACUCAACACUGAUGGCUGCAAACCACCCGCACCAUCAGCCGGGGGCUCCCUCAGGGCUGGCUUUGGUGUCUAUCAGAAAAGGGUCUGAGGUCCUAGUCCCACCCGCUCAAUGCUUCUGCCAGGCAGGACAGGGCCAAGGAGCAAUAGUGGUUGCAUUUCCUUUAAAACUACUGUUUCAUUAAAAAACAAAACAAAACAAAACAAAAAACUAGCUCUGAACAUGAAGAAUUAUAUCCAAGAAAGACACCUUGACAUUUUUUGCUUUAUUAAACAUCAUUCACUGAGAAUUUCCAAAGCACUGUGUGGUGCCUAGACCUGUGUACCAGCGCUCUGGGGGUCGG
rnacentral:lncRNA from 10 species